CCUACGGGAGGCAGCAGUGAGGAAUAUUGGUCAAUGGGCGCGAGCCUGAACCAGCCAAGUAGCGUGAAGGAUGACUGCCCUACGGGUUGUAAACUUCUUUUAUAAAGGAAUAAAGUGAGGCACGUGUGCCUUUUUGUAUGUACUUUAUGACUAAGGAUCGGCUAACUCCGUGCCAUCAGCCGCGGUAAUACGGAGGAUCCGAGCGUUAUCCGGAUUUAUUGGGUUUAAAGGGAGCGUAGAUGGGGUGUUAAGUCAGUUGUGAAAGUUUGCGGCUCAACCGUAAAAUUGCAAUUGAUACUGGCAGUCUUGAGUACAGUUGAGGUAGGCGGAAUUCGUGGUGUAGCGGUGAAAUGCUUAGAUAUCACGAAGAACUCCGAUUGCGAAGGCAGCUUACUAAACUGCCACUGACAUUGAUGCUCGAAAGUGUGGGUAUCAAACAGGAUUAGAUACCCCAGUAGUC
rnacentral:rRNA from 1 species